rfam:Triticum aestivum genome assembly, contig: Triticum_aestivum_CS42_TGACv1_scaffold_130236_2BL
GGGUACAUUGCUCAGUUGGUAAAGCACAAGGCUCUUAACCUUGUGGACGUGUAUUCA